AUUGAACGCUGGCGGCAGGCUUAACACAUGCAAGUCGAGCGGGGGAAGGUAGCUUGCUACUGGACCUAGCGGCGGACGGGUGAGUAAUGCUUAGGAAUCUGCCUAUUAGUGGGGGACAACAUCUCGAAAGGGAUGCUAAUACCGCAUACGUCCUACGGGAGAAAGCAGGGGAUCUUCGGACCUUGCGCUAAUAGAUGAGCCUAAGUCGGAUUAGCUAGUUGGUGGGGUAAAGGCCUACCAAGGCGACGAUCUGUAGCGGGUCUGAGAGGAUGAUCCGGCCAACUGGGACUGAGACACGGCCCAGACUCCUACGGGAGGCAGCAGUGGGGAAUAUUGUACAAUGGGGGGAACCCUGAUCCAGCCAUGCCGCGUGUGUGAAGAAGGCCUUAUGGUUGUAAAGCACUUUAAGCGAGGAGGAGGCUACUUUAGUUAAUACCUAGAGAUAGUGGACGUUACUCGCAGAAUAAGCACCGGCUAACUCUGUGCCAGCCGCCGCGGUAA
rnacentral:rRNA from 1 species